UGCCCUUCGAAACCGGUGCCCCCCCCCCCAACUUUUUUAUGCUUGCUACUCUCCUGCCUGUAGUAUUUUCCAUCAUGCUUGUACACUCUCGGAAUUUUGCGAAACGUCAGGCUUACUUUUGAAAAAAUACACCGUCACAUAUUUAAUCAUCAGUAAAGGUUAGUACAUCUUUACUGCCUCCAAUUGAAUUUGAGGGCCCUUAAACCAUCAUGAUGCGGAAUUACAGUGUAUAAGCUAGGAUUUGACAUCCAUUGUGAAGAUGAAUUUGGGCCCAAU